rnacentral:piRNA from 7 species
GGUCGGGGUUUCGUACGUAGCAGAG